rnacentral:rRNA from 1 species
AGAGUUUGAUCCUGGCUCAGAUUGAACGCUGGCGGCAUGCCUUACACAUGCAAGUCGAACGGUAACGCGGGGCAACCUGGCGACGAGUGGCGAACGGGUGAGUAACGCAUCGGAACGUGCCCAGUAGUGGGGGAUAGCCCGGCGAAAGCCGGAUUAAUACCGCAUACGACCUACGGGUGAAAGCGGGGGACCGUAAGGCCUCGCGCUAUUGGAGCGGCCGAUGUCAGAUUAGGUAGUUGGUGGGGUAAAAGCCUACCAAGCCGACGAUCUGUAGCUGGUCUGAGAGGACGACCAGCCACACUGGGACUGAGACACGGCCCAGACUCCUACGGGAGGCAGCAGUGGGGAAUUUUGGACAAUGGGCGCAAGCCUGAUCCAGCCAUGCCGCGUGCGGGAUGAAGGCCUUCGGGUUGUAAACCGCUUUUGUCAGGGAAGAAACGCUCCGGGCCAAUACCCUGNGGUAAUGACGGUACCUGAAGAAUAAGCACCGGCUAACUACGUGCCAGCAGCCGCGGUAAUACGUAGGGUGCAAGCGUUAAUCGGAAUUACUGGGCGUAAAGCGUGCGCAGGCGGUUNUGUAAGACAGAGGUGAAAUCCCCGGG